CUCUGUUAUUAUCCGGACAUCAAUACGCGUUGGUAGUUCUUGUACAAGUGUCUAAUAUGUAUUUAAUUAAUUAAUUAAUGUAUAUAAUAAUAAUUAUGUAUUAAUAACAAUAACAAUUUUAAAUAUCAUAUAAUAUUAUGUAUUACAUAUUAAAUAUAUAUGUACAUAAUAUAUUAUGUAUAUCAAUAUAAUGCAUAAUGCAUGUACUCUAAACAGUAGGUAGACGUACAAUAUAAAUUCCAAUUGCCUCAGCAAAAUGUUACAAGUCAAUGUGUUUUUGUUGCCACUAAUUGCACCGAACGGGGAGCGCCCAAGAAGCGGUCUGCUUUAUUACCGCCCAGUGACCACGUCAAUUUGGAAGACACACGUCUUGUAGUCAUAUAGCUUGUCCCAAUUCCAUGGACAAUACCUAAUUCGGCUUCUUCCUCGGGGACAGAGACCAUCGUCUCCUGCCUCACGACGUAAUUCUACUAAAUGAUGAUGAUCUGUGAAGAGGAUAUCUAUAACUAUACAAGAUCAGGACGACAGGCUACCAUACUUUAUUUAUGUACAGAGCAUUUGUACCUAGUUAAUAUGCAGACAUACAGUGAGAAUUUGCAGGUAGAGUAAUCUGUUCUUCCGAUUAAUGACGAAAGAUUUAAGUAUUUAAUCAAUAACAACUAUGACGGUCAUAGAGUAAUGCUAAUGCAGUGAUGCGGUAUAUAUAUAUAUAUAUAUAUCUGUGUUUGCUUGCUAUAUAACAAGGAAACAACUAAGUCCAAUAAUUUGACUGUCAAACUAUGGAUUAAUGGAUCAACAGUAUUUUUCUACAAUUUUAAAAUGUUCUCAGUAAAUAGUUAGUUAUACAAGUCGGAAACAUUAUAACUUAUAAGUUAUUUCACUUACAAUCAAAGAAUAAAUUAUAAAAAUAUUUUUAAAUAAAUACGUAUUCAACUGUUACUAAUAGA